rnacentral:rRNA from 1 species
UGUAAGCGUAUACCAAAGUUGUUGCAGUUAAAACGCUCGUAGUCGGAAUUUGGCAGUUCCGGAUGUGUGCACGUCGUGUGCGCACUUCGCGGGGAUUGCUUUUGUGGUCUUGCGUAGGAUGAGGCACUUUUAUUAGUGAACGUCCUCACGCAACCACUUUAUACUGUGAGAAAAUCAGAGUGCUCAAAGCAGGCAUUUGCCGUGAAUGUAUUAGCAUGGAAUAAUAGAAUAGGACUUGGUUCUAUUUUGUUGGUUUGUUGGGACUGAGUAAUGAUUAAGAGGGACAGUUGGGGGCAUUUGUAUUUCGGUGCUAGAGGUGAAAUUCUUAGAUUACCGAAAGACAAACUGCUGCGAAAGCGUCUGCCAAGGAUGUUUUCAUUGA